rnacentral:rRNA from 1 species
GAAGCUGGAAUUGCUAGUAAUGGCAGGUCAGCAUACUGCCGUGAAUACGUUCCCGGGCCUUGUACACACCGCCCGUCACACCAUGAGAGUUGGGAAUACCCGAAGCCUGUGAGCUAACAUUUAUGAGGCAGCAGUCGAAGGUAGAAUCAAUGAUUGGGGUGAAGUCGUAACAAGGUAAC